AUUGAACGCUGGCGGCAGGCCUAACACAUGCAAGUCGAGCGGAUGAAGGGAGCUUGCUCCUGGAUUCAGCGGCGGACGGGUGAGUAAUGCCUAGGAAUCUGCCUGGUAGUGGGGGAUAACGUCCGGAAACGGGCGCUAAUACCGCAUACGUCCUGAUGGAGAAAGUGGGGGAUCUUCGGACCUCACGCUAUCAGAUGAGCCUAGGUCGGAUUAGCUAGUUGGUGGGGUAAAGGCCUACCAAGGCGACGAUCCGUAACUGGUCUGAGAGGAUGAUCAGUCAGACUGGGACUGAGACACGGUCCAGACACCUACGGGAGGCAGCGGUGGGGAAUGUUGGACGAUGGGCGAAAGCCUGAUCCAGCCAUGCGGCGUGUGUGAAGAAGGUCUUCGGAUUGUAGAACGCUUUAAGUUGGGAGGAAGGGAAGUAAGUUAAGACCUGGCUGUUUUGACGUUACCAACAGAAUAAGCACCGGCUAACUUCGUG
rnacentral:rRNA from 1 species